rnacentral:rRNA from 1 species
GAUGAACGCUGGCGGCGUGCCUAAUACAUGCAAGUCGAGCGAACAGACGAGGAGCUUGCUCCUCUGACGUUAGCGGCGGACGGGUGAGUAACACGUGGAUAACCUACCUAUAAGACUGGGAUAACUUCGGGAAACCGGAGCUAAUACCGGAUAAUAUAUUGAACCGCAUGGUUCAAUAGUGAAAGACGGUUUUGCUGUCACUUAUAGAUGGAUCCGCGCCGCAUUAGCUAGUUGGUAAGGUAACGGCUUACCAAGGCGACGAUGCGUAGCCGACCUGAGAGGGUGAUCGGCCACACCGGAACUGAGACACGGUCCAGACUCCUACGGGAGGCAGCAGUAGGGAAUCUUCCGCAAUGGGCGAAAGCCUGACGGAGCAACGCCGCGUGAGUGAUGAAGGUCUUCGGAUCGUAAAACUCUGUUAUUAGGGAAGAACAAAUGUGUAAGUAACUAUGCACGUCUUGACGGUACCUAAUCAGAAAGCCACGGCUAACUACGUG